CCCUUAGAUGUCCUGGGCCGCACGCGCGCUACACUGACGAAGUCAGCGAGCAUCUCCUACGCCGAAAGGUGCGGGGAAUCUUGUGAAACUUUGUCGUGCUGGGGAUUGAUUUUUGAAAUUCUUGAUCAUCAACGAGGAAUUCCUAGUAAGCGCAAGUCAGCAGCUUGCGUUGAUUACGUCCCUGCCCUUUGUACACACCGCCCGUCGCUACUACCGAUUGAAUGGUUUAGUGAGAUUUUUGGACUGGAACUCUCUUGUUCAGCAAUGAACGAGAGGGACUCUGGGAAGCUAUUCUAACUGUAUCAUUUAGAGGAAGUAAAAGUCGUAACA
rnacentral:rRNA from 1 species